CAGUCGCCGCGGUAAUACGUAGGGUGCAAGCGUUAAUCGGAAUUACUGGGCGUAAAGCGUGCGCAGGCGGUUUGUUAAGACAGAUGUGAAAUCCCCGGGCUCAACCUGAGAACUGCAUUUGUGACUGGCAAGCUAGAGUAUGGCAGAGGAGGGUGGAAUUCCGCGUGUAGCAGUGAAAUGCGUAGAUAUGCGGAGGAACACCGAUGGCGAAGGCAGCCCCCUGGGCCAAUACUGACGCUCAUGCACGAAAGCGUGGGGAGCAAACAGGAUUAGAUACCCCAGUAGUCCCUGUCUCUUAUAA
rnacentral:rRNA from 1 species